rnacentral:rRNA from 1 species
AGAGUUUGAUCCUGGCUCAGAAUCAACGCUGGCGGCGCGCUUAACACAUGCAAGUCGCACGAGAAAGGGAGCAAUCCUGAGUAAAGUGGCGUACGGGUGAGUAACACGUGGAUCAUCUACCUUUUAGUGGGGAAUACCCCUGGGAAACUGGGGACAAUACCGCAUAAGCUCGUGAGAGGAAAGCAGCAAUGCGCUGAAAGAGGAGUCCGCGGCUGAUUAGCUAGUUGGUGAGGUAACGGCCCACCAAGGCGAAGAUCGGUAGCCGGCCUGAGAGGGCACACGGCCACACUGGCACUGAAAUACGGGCCAGACUCCUACGGGAGGCAGCAGUGGGGAAUCUUGCACAAUGGAGGAAACUCUGAUGCAGCGACGCCGCGUGAACGAUGAAGCCCUUCGGGGUGUAAAGUUCUUUCGACGGGAACGAUAAUGACGGUACCCGAAGAAGAAGCUGCGGCUAACUACGUGCCAGCAGCCGCGGUAAUACGUAGGCAGCAAGCGUUGUUCGGAAUUACUGGGCGUAAAGAGUGCGUAGGCGGUGCUCUAAGUCUGUUGUGAAAUCUCCCGGCUUAACUGGGAGGGUGCAGCGGAAACUGGAGUGCUUGAGGGUGGGAGAGGUAAGCGGAAUUCCUGGUGUAGCGGUGAAAUGCGUAGAUAUCAGGAGGAACACCUGGUGUAGACAGCUUACUGGACCACUUCUGACGCUGAGGCACGAAAGCGUGGGUAGCAAACAGGAUUAGAUACCCUAGUAGUCC